rnacentral:pre_miRNA from 1 species
AUAGUACUCCCUCCGUUCGGAAUUACUUGUUGCAGAAAUGGAUGUAUCUAGAUGUAUUUUAGUUCUAGAUACAUCCAUUUUCGAGACAAGUAAUUCCGAACGGAGGGAGUACUUU